rnacentral:rRNA from 1 species
GGCGAACGCUGGCGGCGUGGAUUAGGCAUGCAAGUCGAACGGUAUCAUCCUUUCGGGGGUGAGAGAGUGGCGAACUGGUGAGUAACACGUAGGUUAUCUACCCUCAAGACGGGGACAACCCAGGGAAACUUGGGCUAAUACCGGAUGUGAGCAACUUUUAGUUGUUUGAAAGGUGGCGUAAGCUGUCGCUUGGGGAUGAGCCUGCGUCCUAUUAGUUAGUUGGUGAGGUAACGGCUCACCUAGGCAAUGAUAGGUAGGCGGCCUUAACGGGUGGUCGCCCACACUGGGAUUGAGAUACGGCCCAGACUCCUACGGGAGGCAGCAGUCGAGAAUAGUCUACAAUGGUCGGAAGACUGAUAGUGCGACGCCGCGUGAACGAUGAAUCCCUUCGGGGUGUAAAGUUCUUUUAUAUGUGAGCAGUGCUUCUUAUAUUAACAGUAUGGGGAGAGAGAUAUUAGCAUAUGAAUAAGCAACGGCUAACUCCGUGCCAGCAGCCGCGGUAAACUCGU